UACGGAGGGUGCAAGCGUUAAUCGGAAUUACUGGGCGUAAAGCGCAUGCAGGUGGCUGAGAAAGUCGAUUGUGAAAGCCCUGGGCUUAACCUGGGAAUUGCAGUCGAAACUACUCGGCUAGAGUAUGGGAGAGGGUAGUGGAAUUCCCGGUGUAGCGGUGAAAUGCGUAGAUAUCGGGAGGAACAUCAGUGGCGAAGGCGGCUACCUGGCCCAAUACUGACACUCAGGUACGAAAGCGUGGGGAGCAAACAGG
rnacentral:rRNA from 1 species